rnacentral:lncRNA from 1 species
GAAGAAGAAGAGGAGGAAACAUAGAAGAAGAUGACUUUGUGAUUUCAAAUGUGAGGAAGCAAAUUUAAAGAUUCAAGAAUUGUAUUGCAACUACCAAUUAUAAUAGUACGAAAAGGUGUGAAUAUUUACCUCAAUACUUACCUAAUAAGUGGGUUUCAGACUCCACAAGUGCCAAUUAUUACAACUUGUAAUUAAAAUAUGACCUAUUUAUUGGCAAAAUAUGGUUUAACCCUUUGUUUCCGGAAAACUUUUACAAUCAAAAAUUGAGGCACAAUCCAACCUUACAUGUCGCACACUCCCACCUGGUUCUGUGAGGAUCCUUACUAGUGCUACAAAAAGCACAUCGUCUAGAUGUCCCAUGUUGUGGCAUAUGCAAACAUUGGUCAAAGCGUUU